rnacentral:rRNA from 1 species
UACGUAGGGCGCAAGCGUUACUCGGAAUCACUGGGCAUAAAGGGCGUGUAGGCGGGCGCGUAAGUCUGGUGUGAAAUCCCUCGGCUCAACCGAGGAAGGCCAUCAGAUACUGCGUGUCUUGAGUGCGGGAGGGGAGAGUGGAACUCUUGGUGGAGCGGUGAAAUGCGUAGAUAUCAAGAGGAACGCCGGUGGCGAAAGCGGCUCUCUGGCCCGUUACUGACGCUGAGGCGCGAAAGCUAGGGGAG